UCAACUCUAACCUAUUCAAUUCAAAUCUUAUUUCAACUUUAGACAAUUCAUUCCAAUUUUCAAAUUUCCAAUUCCAAUUGAUCUCAACCUUGAUCAAAUCCCAACAUUUGGUUACUUUGAUCGGACAAACUAGAUCAAGCCCAUCCUUUAUUUCCCAUUCAAGACCUAAAAAGGACAGAAAACCCUAAAAAUUAUCUUUGCUCUUUCCCCUUUGCGCAGUAUCUCCUCAUUCCCUUCUCCCUGUGCAUACUCUCUGGCCAAUGAAACUGAUGAAGCGGCCACCUGGUUUAGGAGACCACCAGUCGGAGCAGCCGCACCUCUCCACGAAACUCUCAUUCCUCCUCCGCUCUACCCGUUGCCUUCUCUUCCGUUUCCUUUCCUUCUCUCAUUUCUCCUUUUUCCAGCGAGCAACCAAGAACCACCAGUCCCAGUGACUAAGAUCAUUGGUCUUCCUCUUCUCCUUUAGUUGCCCCUCUCUUCUCCUCUCUCCUCUAUUCUAGCGACAACAACAACAUAAGAGUAGCAGCCACCAACGAACAACAAAACCACUGAUAUCCGUGGAGACCACCAACUUUGCAAGAGAAACCAAAAGUGGAAAGCUCCGACGAGGCAAGCCAUGCGAACAACAGAAGCCAAGCGCCACCCCGCUUACCUCUUCUUUGGUCAGUAACGGAAAAUAGCAACAACAACUCCUACCAAACGAGGCAAACAACAUGGAUUAUAAGACUUAGCCACAAGGAACCUUCUUGCCCACUACAAUUUCGGGUAUUCAACAUGGAGGUUCAAGAUAUUUAAGUGUCGCCAUGGUUGGGAAGUGCUAGACGAGCGAAAUUUAUUUAAUUUGUGUUUUGUGUGUUAUUUAAUUUCUGUUGUUGUCUUGUAAUAAUUUGUAUCACUCUAACUCUGUUCUAUAUAUAAUAUAUAUUUGAGGAGAUCGCACAAAGGUGGAGGGAAAUAUGUGCUAA